CUGACAGUAUCUAUCGGUCGAAACGUGGGCGAGACGUUUUGCCACCCCUAAUUUGAACCUUCAUUUUUCUUCCCUACGAACGAGAUAGGUUUUUCAAGUGUUUGUUUUGCAGCCAUGGCAAAGAGACACCAGCGCUGUGACAAACCCUUUGUAACCCAAGAGUCCUUCAAUAACUACAGAGACGGAUCACAGGAUUUCCGAAAGGCCUCGAUUAGCGCCCCAAGAGUUGUAAAGUCCUUCAAUAAUAAGGGAUCAGGUUCCCAAAAUUUAAGGGGCUUAAAGAUUCAUUGCGAUGAUAGAUCUGUUUUGCUGUAUUUCCAAUCCCUUGUCGGCAGUGGGAUAUCUACACUCUUCAACUACAACGGGAACGGACUUCAGCAGUUCCCUGGCUUCAGCUUUUUAAAGUAUCUGCGAGACUUAACCCGCGUGCGAUGAGAGCUGAAAUACGGAACUAGGGAAAUGUAGUCAUGGAGGUCUAAUACUACCCUAAGGAUUUUCUCCAUUCUCAGUUUGUUUGUUCAAGACUGUCUUUAUUUUAUAUCCUCAUUCAACUUUCAGUUUAAGGAUGUAUUCUCGUGGCUGUGACUUUGUUUUAUACCCACAUUGAACUCUCACUUUGGAUUGUUACAACAAAUUUUAACUAUACUUUAUUAUGUACAUGCGGACCAUAUAUAUGUAUAUAUAUUGAUUGCUUUAGCCA